rnacentral:rRNA from 1 species
AGAGUUUGAUCAUGGCUCAGGAUGAACGCUAGCGACAGGCUUAACACAUGCAAGUCGAGGGGCACAUGAUUUGUAGCAAUACAGAUUGGUGGCGACCGGCGCACGGGUGAGUAACGCGUAUGCAACUUACCUAUCAGAGGGGGAUAGCACGGCGAAAGUCGGAUUAAUACCCCAUAAAACAGGGGUCCCGCAUGGGAAUAUUUGUUAAAGAUUCAUCGCUGAUAGAUAGGCAUGCGUUUCAUUGGGCAGUUGGCGGGGUAACGGCCCACCAAACCGACGAUGGAUAGGGGUUCUGAGAGGAAGGUCCCCCACAUUGGUACUGAGACACGGACCAAACUCCUACGGGAGGCAGCA